rnacentral:rRNA from 1 species
CGAUUUUCGCAAUGCCCGAAAGGGUGACGAAGCGACGCCGCGUGCGGGAAGAAGGCCUUCGGGUUGUAAACCGCUGUCGGGAGUUAAGAAAUGUAAGGAUGUUAAUAGCAUCUUUGCUUGACUAAGGCUCCGGAGGAAGCCACGGCUAACUCUGUGCCAGCAGCCGCGGUAAUACAGAGGCGGCAAGCGUUGUUCGGAAUUAUUGGGCGUAAAGAGCGCGUAGGCGGCUAUGUAAGUCGGUUGUGAAAGCCUUCCGCUCAACGGGAGAACAGCAUCCGAUACUGCAUGGCUUGAGUGCGGGAGGGGAGAGUGGAACUUCUGGUGGAGCGGUGAAAUGCGUAGAUAUCAGAAGGAACGCCGGCGGCGAAAGCGGCUCUCUGGCCCAUAACUGACGCUGAGUGUGCGAAAGCUAGGGGAGCAAACGGGAUUAGAUACCCCGGUAGUCCUAGCCGUAAACGAUGGGCACUAAGUAGAGGGGUUUU